CACCGGGCUUUGCCCCCUCGCACCGCCUUCGCGGAAGCCGCCGGGCCCACCGAGCCCUCCUGAGCCCCGGCCUCACACGCUCUCCCCUCUGCCGGGAUAACUGCAGCCCAUCUUGAUCAGUAAACCAAGACACAGAAAGACUGACUCAUGCGAUUGAGAUCACAACAGCUAGCCAGCCUUAGAACCAGAAUGUGGUUUGGCACCUCAGUGCCAGCCAGUCACAGCAAACUUCUCUGACUUUGGUUUUCCCUUUGGACAGCAAGUCCCCGUGGACCCUGCAAUCUCAGCACAGCCAUCCCUUGAAUUAGGGCUUCAAGUCACAAGAAGUCGCAAACACAACUGAAGGCAACAACUGAAGAUCAUGAUGAAUUAUUAAAGUCUCCUUCCUGUUCAUUACGAAUAUCAUAAUAUUAUCCUCACAACCAUCGUCAGUCAUCAUGUAUCAGCCCAGAAGGAGUUUUGGUGUCACAUGUUUUUCCCUGACUUUUAAAAACUUGAAAUAAAA